AUGAGGGCAGCUGAGGCCACUGAAUCUCAGGAGAUCAAUAGUGUUAGUAGCUGUUCAUCUAAUUAUGGAUUAUUUGGGUCGGACUCUUUUCUCGUAGCUGGGUGUGACUUCAUUGACUUAAAAGAGGUUAGUUCAUUCAGUUCAUAGGGGUUAUAGCAUGAGUGAAUCAUUCCCCUCAUAAUUGUUAUCCUAUUAACCAUUAGGAUAGCCUAAUAUUUUUUAUUAUAUAGCAGACAUUCUCAUUUUUAGGACUUUUAAAAAUAAAUGAUUAAGCAUAUUUUAAUGAUAUUAAAUGAAUGGCUUGGGGCUAUGUAUAUUAUUAAUCCAUUUGUAUUAGGUAUGUACAUUACUAACAAAGCUCAGGGUGAAAAUAUUUAGGCAGUAAAAUACUGUUAUGAACGCUUCCUUUGGAACAUAUCUCUAUGAAUUCUACAAAGGUAUAUAUGAAAAACAUGCUGUUAUAGUGCAUAAUCAUCUAUGCGUUAAUACAUUAAACUGGCCAUAAACAUGAGACAUGAUGAUGUAGGAUUUAUUACAUAUUUUAAAUUUUCAUUGCUUAAGAGAUUGCAAAAUACUCUGUCUACCUGAAUUACAAAAGAGCCUAUAAGUCCACUUAGUCAUUUGGAAUUUUCCACACUUUUUUUCUUGCACAAGCAUUUUCAUGAUCUGCCUAUUGUUGCAUCUUGAUUCUUAUCAACUGUCAGCCCUACAGAAUGCAUACAGUGUGUUUGGGCAUUAAUGUAGCACCCACUAAAACUCAUAUAGUCCUGCCUUAGAAUGAACAAGGCUUGGUAUAUAUGUUGGGGUACAACUAAUCAGGGCAGUCAGUUUGCUUUUUUGUUGUUCCAAAAUCCUGUUCACGAAACUGGAAAGGAUCUGUCCAAGACAUCACAUAAGGAAAGUGAUUUAAGCCAAUUUAUACCAUCAUGUAAAUCGUUAGCAAAAGGGAUUCCCAGAACGUUAUGUUCUAGUUUAAUAGAUACCUAUGUUCUGUGAGAGGAGGGCAAUGAGUUUGUGAAGGGAAGAGCAUUCCCUGGAAAAUGAAGAGCCUGGGUGAGCUUUGGAAUUUUGGAACUAAUAAUAUUAUUCUGUAUUUUUCUAUUUCAUUUCUUGAGAAUCUCACGAUGGAGAGGAGCAUAUGACACCUCUGACAAGGCUAAUCCGAAGUUAUGAGUAUUAAUUUCCUGACCUCCAACACUGGUCACCUGGUAAAGUUGGCUCUGAUGCAGCUGUAUCGGAGAAAAAUCCGCUUUUGAUGAGAGUCCAGCAUCCAUGCCGUUUGGCGGAGAACAGAGCACCGCAGGUGUUACUGAGCCGCUCUGGAGUGUUUAUCUGAGCUCACGGGACUGCACAGUGACAAGCUCUAUGCCUUGUAGGCAGGUGGUACCACCCGAUAAAGUGUAGAGUCACGUAAUACUUCCUCACUGCAACGCUGACCUGGCCAUGGAAAUGUAUUCUGUCCCCGUUACAGACUGCAGCAGAGAAAGGCAGCUGGAGAGUUAACAGCCUUUCUUUGGCAGGAAACCUGCUGCUACGAAUGAUAACACGGGACACACACGGCGAAUGGGUUCGUUAUUUUUUUCACUUAAAUCUGAGCAAAUAGAGGGCUGAUGAGCGAAACCAGAUGUGCAGGCAUCAGCGCUCGCUUCGUGCACAGCAGCGAUGCAGGAGUCGGUGUCCCGUACUCCACUGUGUCAAUGUGUCGUGCCCUUCCUCCCAAGGUGACACUGUUCGGUGGCAGCGCUCAGCCCCCAUGGGCUUUUCAGUCGUAGGUCUGCUUUCAUGUGGAAGCAGACAAAUACUGCCAGUGGCGUGGUGAUUUUGGAACUGGACUGAUACUGCCAAAUCGUUCUGCAUAGCUCACCUGCCGAGGCCAGGCAGCAGGUCGUUAGCAGUGAACUUGCAGUCACCGUUGGACUGGGUCAGACGUGAAAUGGUGAUAGAAGAAGGAGAAGCUCCGUACUCCAAAACCAGGCCCUGAACCAGCCAGUCAUUUAGAGAACAAUUUUUAUAUUGCUUAUUGGGUGCUGUACUAUCCAAUCUCAUUACUCAGGACAUCUUCAGUGUAAGGACAUUUUCUAGGCACUGAACUGUUGCUAAAUACUUUUGCUAUAUUGUGUUUUAUAAUAAUGAUCAGCAUCACAGCAACAGAAAUGUCUUACUAAGAAAGCUCAGGAAAUCUGAGUAUUUAAACAUCAUAAAAUAGCAGGGCCAAACGUUUAUGCUCAUGGGCAACUAUAUGCAUAUGACUUCAUCAAUAGUAAUAUUCAUGUGAGUAAAGAUAUACACAUAAGUAUUUACAGAGUUGGGUUACCGGAGGAAAUCUAAGAACAUUUAUUUAUUAUAGUUCGAAUGGGAGUAAAAUGGUCCUGCUGAUAGAAACAAUAUAAUCUGAUAUCCAAAUAAUAAAAUGACUGGCCAGAUAACAAGAUAGAUGUACUCUUUUCUCAUGCCCAUUUCUGAUGCCAAUAGCUGAUUUCAUCUCUCAGAUCCAUAUGGAACUUUCCUGUAGCUCCAAGAGGGACAGCUGAGGUCACCACGACUAACUAACAGAGCUGGGAAUACUACAGUAGUUUUUACAGCGGGAGUAUUUCCUCAUCCAAUUCUGGGUAAAGGUAAGGAGCAGCCUUGUGAAACAAAGCACACUGUUGCUCGUGAGCGACGGCUCGGAUCCCUGUUCCAACUGGAAGAAAAUGGGUUAAGUGCUGGGGCCCC